GGAUGUGGUCUCCUGGACUGUGAUGAUCGGAGCUUACUCACAGGAUGGAAAGUUCAGCCUCUCGAUCCAGCUCUUCCGGGAAAUGCUGCUCGAAGGGACUGCUCCAAACAGUGUCACCUUUGUCAGUAUCUUGAGCGGCUGCGAAGCACCAUCUUUACUCGAGCAAGGGAGGCAGAUUCACGCUCUAGUGGUGGAGAGCAGUCUCGAGUCACACGUCGUUGUAGCGAAUUCUCUGCUGGGGAUGUAUAGCAGAUGCCGCAGCUGGGAGGAUUCGAGAAGUUUGUUCGACAGAAUGAGCAUCCGAAACUCAGUUUCAUGGUCGACGAUCAUCAUGGCCUACGAGGAGUUUACCGGAGUUACACGAACUACGGGAAUAUUCCGAGAAUAUUCCAUGGCCUGGCUUUCCUGUUCGAUUCAUUGGUAUUGGAACAGCACGUUCUUUUAGGGAUGGCGGGUGAGUAAGAUAUUGAUCUUGAUGAGGAGUAUGGUGUUAGUGAUAAUGGCCAUGAUGAUGUGGAAGAGACUCUUAAUGAUGUUAUUGUGUGCUAGAUUUCUGAGGUUCAGAGUGACAUAACAAGUUUGUGAUUAUCAUUGGUACGUCAAGCAUGCCAAGGAUUAUAAUAUCGUGGAAUGGAAAUCAUCACCAAAUGUUUGUAAUAGUCAAUAGGUUGAUUCUUGGUUGGAAUUGUGGGAAAGUUGUUAGUCUCACAAUCCUUGUGAAGAUAAGGUGAAGAUAGAUUUCUUUGUGAUGAAGUUUAUGGGCUAUGUUUAUUCGUGGUGGAAGAAUUACAUUAAAGUUAAUCCGAAGCCGACUUCUUAGACUGAUUUGACAAAGGUUUUCUACACUUUGUUUGUCAAAAAGUUUGAAGAAGUUAAUCUCGUGAACUAGCUAUUAAAAAUCUAACAAAGGACUUUGUCUUUGAAUGCAUAUGCCCGCAAGUUCUAUGAUCUUUGCCUUAAUCUCAUGGGCACCUAUAAUGAGCUGUUAAAAGUGCAAUGUUUCAUCAAAAAAUGAAUGAAUUGUUCUGAAAGGGUCAAUGAAUGAAUGAAUGGCAACAUUAUCUAUAUGGAUCAGAUUUCCAUGUGGAUUUAGAUCAUCAAUCUCUCUAAUAUUUCAGUCGACAAAAGGAUCUUCGAGAUCGCCUUGCUCAUUGGCAAGAGUUCCUAUAGGAAAUGUUUGUUAAAAUCCAGUACAAGCAUGGAGGUGACAAUAAGGUGGCUAAUGUAUUAUCCAGGAUGGUAAAUUCUAUGUUGUUCAUAAAGUUAUCCAGCGAUCUCUUGGAUGAGCUUAAGGAGUUUGCUGACUUCGACUCCUUUAUCACUAAUAUUUGCGCGAAGGUUUUGUUGAGGGACGCCUCUACAAAUUUGAAGGGUAACAAGUUUGCAUCAUUCGAAAUACAAGAUGGAAUUCUGGUGAAGAAGGGACAUGUAGUGGUUUCUCGUGUUAACAAACUCAUCAAACAAAUUUUGGUUGAGUGUUAUGAUAUGCCAAGUGUUGGGCAUUCGGGGGUAUUGAGAAAGUAUAUUUUGGUGAAGAGGCAUUUCUUUUGGCUUGGGAAAGUCAGAUGUUGAGAAAUACAUGCAUGGUUGUUUGACCUGCCAAGCAAUCAAAAAUUAAUCAUCAAAAGCUCGCUGGCCUCUAUCAUCCUUUACGUGUACCCGAGAAUAAAUGGGAUAGCAUCUCAAUGGACUUUAUUAUUGGUUUGCCCAAAACCUUUCAAGGAAAUGAUGUUAUUUGGGUUGUUGUGGAUCGUUUGACCAAGAUGGCUCACUUCUUCCCUGUGAAAACGACGAUAAAAGCUUCUGAACUUGCUCAGUUGUUUGUAGACCGGUUAUUUAGUCUCUAUGGUUUGCCAGGUGACAUUGUGAAUGAUCAGGAUUCCAAGUUCACGUCCAAAUUUUGGCAAACAGUAUUUGAGAAGCUAGAGACUAAGUUGAGCAUGAGUAGUGGUGAGCAUCCACAAUCUAAUGGACAGACAGAGCGCAUGAAUCAACUAUUAGAAGAUAUGCUAAGGUUUUUUGUGGGAAACUUGACUCGACAGAGAGUAUGGGAGAAGUACUUACCUUUGCUUCACUUUGCUCAUAAUAGCGCUCAUCAAUCAGCUAUUGGCAUGUCUCCCUUUAUAGCAAUAUAUGGCUAUGAGCCUAAGCCUCUUGUGAGUUUGAAUUUGGCUUUGGUUUGGGUACCUCAUGCUUGUGAUUUUCUAGAGGAUAUGCAAAACAAACUUGAGUUGGCAAAGUUGAACAUAAGGCAAGCUCAAUAACAAGACAAAAGAUUAGUUGAUGAGCAUCGUCGUCAUCAAGAGUACAAAGUUGGUAACAAGGUUUUCCUUAAGCUGUCAGAUGCACAACAGUUUCUAAAAGGAGGUGGCAAUGCUAAGUUGCCUCCAUAGUAUUGUGGAUCUUGGACAAUUUUACAGCGUGUAGGGGAUCUUGCAUACACUUUGGACUUGCUAGUUAGUUCGAAAAUUCAUCCAACAUUCCAUGUGAGUAAGCUUAAAGCGUGUUUGCACUCUAGUGAUAUUGUGGAUCAAUCCAUCAUCCAAGUCCCAAAGAUUGAUGCAAAGAAGGCUGGUCCAACCAAUAUUCUUGCUCAAAGAUUGGUGAAAACAUGCCGAAAGACAACUAAAGAGUUGUUAGUUCAAUGGAAUGAUUAUUCCAUGGACAACGCUAUAUGGGAAAUUAAGGAUGACAUGAAGAGAGUGUUUCCAAGUUUUGGUUAUAAUUUAGAUGACAUUUUUGAGGAAGGGGAAAAUUGAGUUCUAUAUCCGUAUUGCUAUAUAAUUUGAGCUGUUUGUUCUAUUCUCAUUCUCUUAUUUCUAUGAUUAUUUUGUCAUGUGAAAAAGUUAUAUUGCUUUCUUUCUUUCAUGGCCAUUUACUGUGACAUUGGUGUUGCCAUUUGCACACCUUUUCUCCAUGGCCAUAUUGCCUUUUGACUCCCUUCAUGUGAGGCUCGUUUAACUUCUUAAGAUUGCCUUAUGUUGCUAGGUCAUGAGAACAACACAAACCACAAGAAUAUUCUAAGAAUAUUCUAUGACCUCUGGGAUUUAAAGCAGGUUGGCCUAGGGUUCACUCUCCUGUUCGUUUCAAUGACAGAUGAGGUAAAUAGGACCAACACGCUUUCAAAUCUUCGAUAAUCUUUCUCUAUCAUUUCGUAGGCUCCAGUUCGAAAGCAAGUGGUCUCUCUUUCCAAUUCCCUGAGCUGCUUAGAGCUGAGAAAAUGCAUCGAAGAAAAAGUCCCUCACGUCCUGUUAGACGUCCGUGACGAGCACCAGUACGCCAUCAGCGCGCUGCCACAGUCGACAAACAUUCCUCUCUCGCAACUCCAGAAGAACAGCCAAGAGCUCCGCGAUAUCAUACUCGACGACGAGAAGAUGCCAGUCUUUGUCAUCUGCCGGAGGGGGAAUAGCUCUCAGGAAGCCGUGGAGCUGCUCAGAAACUCUGGAGUUAACGCCUUGGAUGUCACGGGAGGACUUGAGGCGUGGUCCAGAGAGGUAGACUCCAAGUUUCCUUUGUACUAAAUCGUUUUUUCUCUACAGGAAAGCUCAAGGUCUUGGUUUUCUUAGAAACAAAGCACUUUUUCUUUCGAGAAUCAUCAAAAGUUUCGCCGUUAGGUAAAGAGUUUUGCUUGAGAAAGACUACAAUGGAAGAAAAGUUCAAGCCAACCAAUGGCUAGAACCAACGUAUUUUCCCACAGGGAGUUUGAUCUAUCAAAAACACCAUGGCGGUUGUAUAUAAAUCUAAGCUACAUCGUCGUCUUGGGCGCUAGAAGCAAGCGCCUAGCAAACAACAGCAACACAAGGCCCCCAAACUGGAAGAAAAAAAAGGAUCAACAAAUGCAAAAAAAAAGGGAAGAGCUUCGAGCGAAGCGAGGCUCCAGAGAUUUUGGAACUAUAAAUUUACCAUCCCUGGAUGAACGACGGGCCUUUGUUGUUCUGAUGAUUCUCCUCCUGCUUAUAUCCCGGCUGUUGGACUGGAUAGCCCGCUGGAGGAUAGCCUUGCGGAGGACAUCCCUGGGGAGGAUAGCCUUGCGGAGGAUACGCUGAAACACCCCAGAUCUCUCAGAUAUCCAGGCAAAGAUCUCGCGAUUUCUCGCGGCGCUUACCUUGACCAUAGCCUUGCGGCGGCGGCGCUUGCACUGGCGGCUUCUGAUCGUAGUAGCUCAUCCUCUCCUGACUCGUUCGUUUUGCUUUCGAUCGUGGUGCGUGUACCCGUUAUAAAGGAGGCCAUAAACGCGGAAUGAUAUUUCCUAGGCUUGACGGCAAUGGCUGAUGGAGCGUGGUCAAGACGGCUUCGGCAGUGCAAGGGUUUAUGGUGGGUUUAGGGCUGACGAUGCCCCCUGUUUUUAAGGGUUCUUGAGGAUGAGGAAGCUCUGGCGAUGGCGACGCGCCAGCUUGCGCCAGGUUCGUGCUCGAUUUGUCGCGGAUUUUGAUUGAUUCUCGUGUUUUCAGGGAGAAUGCCGUGGCGCGGGUUGUUUGUUUCGAGCAUAUCGACGCAAUGCGGGUCUUCCAGUGAUUUGUUCGGUGUCUCGGCAUUGCUGCGGCUAGGAGGAGCAAAGGCGGCGCUGGAUUAUCUCGAUUCCAGGCAAGGUCGAGAUGGUUUCUUGGAUUCUUCCACGCUCGCGAGGUUGCUGCUGGAUUGUGGAAGAUCCAGCGCUCUCGCGGAGGGCCGGCGCGUCCACGAGUACGUUGUGAGAUCCAGGUUUGUCCGCGACGCGUUCCUUGGCAAUCACCUCGUCCAUAUGUAUCUCAAGUGCCAGAGCUUCGACGAGGCCGAGAGGGUUUUCCAGAGCGCUGCUUGUGAGAGCUUUGAUGUUGCAACGUGGACAGCAGUGAUCGUCGCUAGAGCGGGGCUCGGGAAAUGGAAGUUGGUGUUUGGUCAGCUGGAUGAGAUGGAUCGGAGAGGGAUUCCACCGGACAGGGUCAUGAUCAAGACGUUGUUCACUGCUUGUACCAAGCUCGGUGCUCUGGAAGAAGGGAAACUUAUCCAGGAUCGUCUAGCAGGAACCCAGCUCGAGCUCGAUAUUGGUGUGCUCAACCUCACGAUCAACAUGUACGUGAAGUGUGGUUGCCUAGAUGGAGCAGUGCAAACUUUCGCGAGGAUGAAGCGACGGGAUGUGGUCUCCUGGACUGUGAUGAUCGGAGCUUACUCACAGGAUGGGAAGUUCAGCCUCUCGCUCCAGCUCUUCCGGGAAAUGCUGCUCGAAGGGACUGCUCCAAACAGUGUCACCUUUGUCAGUAUCUUGAGCGGCUGCGAAGCACCAUCUUUACUCGAGCAAGGGAGGCAGAUUCACGCUCUAGUGGUGGAGAGCAGUCUCGAGUCACACGUCGUUGUAGCGAAUUCUCUGCUGGG
rnacentral:lncRNA from 1 species